GGGCCUGUAGCUCAAUUGGGAGAGCACUGCCUUUGCAAGGCAGGGGUUAGCGGUUCGAGCCCGCUCAGGUCCA
rnacentral:tRNA from 1 species